rnacentral:lncRNA from 7 species
AUGGCUUUGCAUUCUGCAAUGAAAAUGAUCUCAUUAUCCUUUCCGGAGACUCAGACAGCUACUUGAAAAAUACUUAGGAAAAAAACACAGCAGCUCUGGGGAGAGAGCCCUUCCCAAGCAGGGAGGGAAAACAGAGCAGAAGGAAACAGCGUCAGUGGCAGACAUAGGUGGGAGGCUGCCCUGCUGCAUGCCCAGCACCUGCUGGGAGUCAUCACCAAUGUGGGAGCAGGCAGAAGCACUGAGAGGCAUAGGAGUGGUGAGAGGAGGUGCGGGUCAGCCCCAGCCCUGCACAGCUGGAGGUGUUCACCAGCCCAGCCCAGAGCUCCCUGGCAGCACUCAUGUCCCGGCAGUGCCUCUCUGAGCUGUAUGCUAUCACAGCAACCACCUCCACCACUGUUACUGCAUUGUGCUUCCAUCUGCCUGUAGGCAGAGAACACACAUAGCCGCACAGGAGCUGCCACGUGUUUCUGUAAGAACUGUGUGCUGGAAAUAAGCAGAAUGCAGAAAUACUGCAGGAAGAGAAAGGAGCAAAGAAAACGCAGCACUGCUUAAGUCUGGACACAGAAUGUGAUGCUUAGGUUCUCCCUUCAGCUGUAAACCACAGGGAGAGGGAUGAUGCUCCCUCAGGGAGCUACUUCAGUGUCAGCUUUGGGGAUUUCCUCCUGCAUCAGCAGCAAUAGCAACGAAGCAAAAGAUAAGGGGAAAAGGUAACUGAGGGGAGACAGAAACUGGAGGGGGACUGCAUAAGUUGGAAAGACUCCUGCGGUGGGGACCAGAGGGAGAACCUCAAACAUAAAAGGGGGGAGGCAGGUGCAGGUCCAUCGCCUCCUGAAGAAGUUCAGAGCGAGCAGGUCCAGGCUUGGCAGAGUGAGAAAUAGAAAAGAAAACGAGGGGGACAGUGUGGAAGGGGUGGCUGGCUUCUCAUU